rnacentral:rRNA from 1 species
AUACGGAGGGUGCAAGCGUUGUUCGGAAUCACUGGGCGUAAAGGGUACGUAGGCGGCUUUGCAAGUCAGAAGUGAAAGGCAUUGGCUCAACCAAUGUAAGCUUUUGAAACUGCAAAGCUAGAGUUCAGGAGAGGUAAGUGGAAUUCCUAGUGUAGAGGUGAAAUUCGUAGAUAUUAGGAGGAACACCAGUGGCGAAGGCGACUUACUGGACUGAUACUGACGCUGAGGUACGAAAGCGUGGGGAGCAAACAGGAUUAGAAACCCGGGUAGUCC